UACAGAGGGUGCGAGCGUUAAUCGGAAUUACUGGGCGUAAAGCGCGCGUAGGCGGCUUUGCAAGUCGAGUGUGAAAUCCCCAGGCUUAACCUGGGAACUGCAUUCGAGACUGCAUAGCUAGAGUAUGGGAGAGGGAAGUGGAAUUUCAGGUGUAGCGGUGAAAUGCGUAGAUAUCUGAAGGAACAUCAGUGGCGAAAGCGGCGCGCUGGAUCCCUACUGACGCUGAGGCACGAAAGCCAGGGGAGCAAACGGG
rnacentral:rRNA from 1 species